CGUCAAGUCAGCAUGGCCUUUAUGUCUAGGGCUACACACACGCUACAAUGGCCAGUACAAUGCGACGCAAGACCGCGAGGUGGAGCCAAUCGAGAAAGCUGGUCGUAGUUCGGAUUGCAGGCUGCAACUCGCCUGCAUGAAGUCGGAGUUGCUAGUAACCGCGCAUCAGCCAUGGUGCGGUGAAUACGUUCCCGGGCCUU
rnacentral:rRNA from 1 species